CGAACUCGCUUCCAGGGUAGCAAGAGCGUGCAAUUAUCAUGAAAUUGACUAAUUUAGUCCAUCAGGAUGGAGCCCCACCCAACCAGACAGACACUGCAGCAGAGGAGAAAUCAGACAAUGAACCUCAGGAGACUCCACCCAGCCCUGGUGUAGCCCCGCCCAGGAGCAGAAUGAAGAGGAGCGCCCCCUGGCGGGAUGUCACGGGUUCUAUGCCAGGAAUGCCGGGCGGGAAGAAUCGCUACAAGGCGGGACACAAACACAAAUCCCGCUCUGGUGCUAAAGGGAGGAAGAAGCAGAAUGAAAAGAAACCAGCCAAUCACAACCCAGAUCCUGAGCUGGACACCAGAGAGAUAGACAGAUCACCAGAAGACAGGCAGGAAGACACAGCGACAGGUUAUAGUGAUGAGGUGGGAGACAGUGAGCGAGGAGGAGAGGAGGAAGUCGACCCAGAGACUGAAACAGAUUACAACUCCGGAACUGAGCCUGAUCCUGAAGACGACCUGAACCCGGACAAGGAGACAGAGACAGACAGAGAGGGAGGACAGUCAGGGCUGGACUAUUAUAGUCACACAGACAGGUUGGAGGGGG
ensembl:lncRNA